UACGUAGGGUGCAAGCGUUAAUCGGAAUUACUGGGCGUAAAGCGUGCGCAGGCGGUUUUGCAAGACAGAUGGGAAAUCCCCGGGCUUAACCUGGGAACUGCAUUUGUGACUGCAUAGCUGGAGUACGGUAGAGGGGGAUGGAAUUCCGCGUGUAGCAGUGAAAUGCGUAGAGAUCCGGAGGAACACCAGUGGCGAAGGCGGCUCGCUGGGCUCUACCUGACGCUGAGGCGCGAAAGCGUGGGGAGCGAACCGG
rnacentral:rRNA from 1 species